AAUAUGAAUCCACAAAGAAAAAUUAAUUUUUUGUAAAGAUUUAAUUUACGUGUUAGUAUUGUAUGUAAGCUUAUUUUCUGCAUAUUAUUAUUUAUUUGAUUGUUUGAUUUAUUUAGCUAAAGUGAUCAUUGCUUAUUGGACCAUCUAGCUCAGUAUUCGACUUUUUAUUUUUGUUUACAGCUUCAAAGGACUAACCUAAUCGGAAUUCUAAUAUUAUAGAGUGACUAGCAGAACUUUAGCAUAGAUUAUCGUAGAUUAGAGUUUAUUUAAGUUGAUGUGUUACUUUAGAACAUGGUUAGAAUUAUGAGACUUAAAUUUUAUUUGACAGUUGGAUUUGUUAUUUAAAUUAUUUCUACUGCCUGAUUAUGAUAUCAUGAUGAGAAGCCUUACAUGCCUGGUGAGAGAAUUUUCUACGAGUAUGCGGUGGUUGCUGCGAUCCUCAGGCUUGUGAUCUUGGGUCGGGGGGCGUAAUAUUAUGCCAGACCAGUUUUGAAGCAAAGAUGAAACAAAAGAAUCUUGUUACUGGAUUGGGAAUGAUUUGGGGAGCAGUAUGUUUUGAUCAAUGGAAAUGCCCUCACACACACAUUUUAGAGGGAAGUAAACUAAAAU
rnacentral:lncRNA from 1 species